AUUUGUUGUUUCACUCUUUUAAACACAUGUUCAGUGGCGAUAGUGUGUACCAAGGAUACUGAUAUUAAUAAUCCAAAGACAAGAAGAGUCAGUCCUUGCAAUUAAGAUGCUUGCAGUAUAAUAGGGAAGAGAACUUUCCAACCAAAUUAUGGUAUUGUGUAUUAACAACUACAAGGUAUUCUGAAAAUGCGUGGAGUAGUUAGACUAAGCUCUUCAAUUUUCCUGAGUCUAUCUAAGAAGGUUAUACAAAUGAGACAACAGUUGAUGAUCAGGUUUGCAUAUGAAUAAGACCUUACAAAAUGAAUGAAGGAAAACAUACACUGACCAAGCAGUAUCUUCAGUCAGACUGAGUUUGAACACUGAUGCUAACACUUAAGAAUUGUGAUAUGGGCAAAUUAUUAAACCUCUCUCUGCCUUAGCUUUUCAUUUUUAAAAUGAAGCUUGAGGAUUGUUUUGAGAAUUGAAAAGAUAUUCAUAACACUGUCUGGUACAGAAUAAAUAUACAAUAAUUGUUACCUACUGAUAAUACCUAUCAUUUGCCAGUUUCAUUAGCCAUUAUAUCCUUCAAUUAUGAAACAGCCAUGCAUGAAAGUAUUGGUUUACCAUUUGACAAAUGAUGGAAUCUUUUCAAGGAACUUACAUGAUAAUAUGGAAGGCUGAUUUCAAACCCAGGUAUUGAUUUGAACUACCUCCUCCAAAGGCAAGACAGAACUAAAAUAAAUCAUGUCAGCAUAACAUUCUAAGGAUAAGACACUGUUACUUACACAGUGCAUGAGGACAAAGAGAUGGAACAAUCAACUCUACCUCUGAAACUGCCAAGGAAAAUAAUGGUUAUCAUAGGUCUAAAAGGAUGCGAGGUACUCCUGAAGGGCUAUGAAGGGUCCCUCCUAUCCACAUCUGUCUCUGGUACAGAUGACAAAAGCUUAGAUACAAGCUAAUGCCACAAUGGAAAAGGUGUUUAUUAUGAUCUUAUGAAAUGGUAAGCAUACUUUUUUUUUAAAGUUUUGUUUUAUUUAUUAGAAAGACAAGAGUUACAGAGACAGAGGUAGAAACACAGAAAGAGAAGCCUUCCA
rnacentral:lncRNA from 1 species